rnacentral:rRNA from 1 species
CCUACGGGUGGCAGCAGUGGGGAAUAUUGCACAAUGGGGGAAACCCUGAUGCAGCGACGCCGCGUGAGUGAAGAAGUAUUUCGGUAUGUAAAGCUCUAUCAGCAGGGAAGAAAAUGACGGUACCUGACUAAGAAGCCCCGGCUAACUACGUGCCAGCAGCCGCGGUAAUACGUAGGGGGCAAGCGUUAUCCGGAUUUACUGGGUGUAAAGGGAGCGUAGGUGGCAUGGUAAGCCAGGGGUGAAAGCCCGGGGCCCAACCCCGGGACUGCCCUUGGAACUGCAUGGCUGGAGUGCGGGAGGGGCAGGCGGAAUUCCUGGUGUAGCGGUGAAAUGCGUAGAUAUCAGGAGGAACACCGGCGGCGAAGGCGGCCUGCUGGACCGCGACUGACGUUGAGGCUCGAAAGCGUGGGGAGCGAACAGGAUUAGAUACCCCUGUAGUC